rnacentral:rRNA from 1 species
CCUACGGGAGGCAGCAGUGGGGAAUUUUCCGCAAUGGGCGAAAGCCUGACGGAGCAAUACCGCGUGAGGGAAGAAUGCCUACGGGUUGUAAACCUCUUUUAUCAGGGAGGAACAAAAUGACGUGUACCUGAUGAAUAAGCAUCGGCUAACUCUGUGCCAGCAGCCGCGGUAAGACAGAGGAUGCAAGUGUUAUCCGGAAUUACUGGGCGUAAAGCGUCUGUAGGUUGUUGAACAAGUCAACUGUUAAAUCUUGAAGCUCAACUUCAAAAUCGCAGUCGAAACUGUUUGACUAGAGUAUAGUAGAGGUAAAGGGAAUUUCCAGUGGAGCGGUGAAAUGCGUAGAUAUUGGAAAGAACACCGAUGGCGAAAGCACUUUACUGGGCUAUUACUGACACUCAGAGACGACAGCUAGGGUAGCAAAUGGGAUUAGAUACCCCAGUAGUCCUAGCCGUAAACUAUGGAUACUAGAUGUUGAACAGAUCGACCUGUGCAGUAUUAAAAGCUAACGCGUUAAGUAUCCCGCCUGGGAAGUAUGCUCGCAAGAGUGAAACUUAAAGGAAUUGACGG